CAACAUGAAAUACAUUCAAUUUGAAUGUAUUUCAUACGUCUUAACAUAUAAGCCAUAAACUGUUAGAAUUGUUAUUCUCCAUGAAAAAAAUUAUAAAUGACCUAUUAUUAUUUGAACUGGGGUCGUUUUGCUUCGGUGAGCCUUCCGGGAACUGCGACCAUGCAGAUCUUUUGUUCACUAUAAAUGACUUAAAGUGGUUAUGCCAUUUCCCUGAUAAUGUGAUGUUAAUGAAUGCUGGACAAUGUCCAAUGAGUGAGUCCAUUAACUAAAAGAAAAACAAGAAACCCUCCUCUAAUCAGUAUCUAUGGUUAAAACUUGACCUUGAUUGAUAUAAGAACCUAACCUAAGUUAUCGUUAACGCUCUUUGAUUGUUGUUGUUAUUGGUGAUCUUUGAAUUAGUGUAGGUGAAAUCAUUUCCAAGUUCCAAUAUUACCAAUUCUUUUUCAUUGUUUUAUGAUUGCCCUACAGCAUUAGAAAAGAAUUCUAUUUGACGAGAAACAUUUUUUCGUUUUGUUAUGGAAUCAGAUAAUGAACAUACCACUACCGGAUGUCCUGAAAUAGUAUGUCAUCUACAUAAUUUUAAUGGUUGUGAAUGGAGAGGACAAUCAGAAGAUAUGUUGGAACAUUGUAUGACAAAGCAUGCCAGGUUUGUUCGAAAAGGUUACAAGCAGAAAUAUACUAUUGAAAAAUUCAGGUCAAUCAACAUUGCAAAAGAUUUUCCACAUAUCAUUCAAGCACAUGGAAAUCUAUUUCUGCUGUGGUUGCGAAAAUAUCCAAGUGGUAUGAUGACCCUUCGUGCAUAUUGCUUGGAAUGUUGUGUGCCUUAUUUGAAAUGUAAAAUAUUCAUUGAAUUCCAAGAUAAAGUAGAAGUUAAGUUGGAUUGUUUUCCAUUACAUUAUUACCUUCAGUACUUUCAUUAUGCAGAUGACCAUAAAUUCAGAAUAAAUGGUGAACAAUAUUUAGGAGAUGCAGAGGAUUUGUCUUAUAGAAUCAUAAUUGAAGAUACAUCAUUGCAAAAUCUUCUAGAAUUUUCACCAUUACUUUGGAUAAAAUAACAAAAUCAUGUGAUAUUAACUCUAGACACUGAUAUAAAUACCAUAAACAUUGGAAAAUUACAGUUUAUUCCAUUCUUGAACAAUGGUAACUUAACUCUUCCAGCCGAUUCAAUCAAAAUAAAAUUAAAAACUGAACUAAAGAUUCCAGCAAGGCUGGUUUGGUAGGGAAAUGUGAACAUAUUUAGUUUUUCUGUUACAUAUUUAAACUUGCUUAUGCAGGGAAAGUUGGUUCCAAUCAUGAUGAGAUUGUUUUGGAGCAGUGAGAUUCGAAAUCAUAUCAAUGAAGAAAUUUCAUAAUGAUACACACCUGUUAUUAGAUGUACCCUUGCCUGCCUCCGCUGAUAACCCCAUAAAAGGAUAUUGGCUGCAUCAGUCUCGAAGAAAUCUCAACAACCAAAUGUUGACAACUCAUCAAAAAGAAUAUAAAAUUUUGAAGAACACAGGUAUUAAUUUCAUGUAAUAUCAACAGAAUAGUCAUCAAUGAAGUUGAAUCAUAACCAUUGUUAAGUAUAACUUAUGUCAAAUAAAUAAGAAAAAUGUUCAGUAAUACUUUAAAUUUCUUACAAUUUCCAUAAUGAAUUUGGAAAUAUUUUCUCAAAACAUGAAAUAUUAUCACUUAUUGUUAUAUAGUUCUUUUAAGAUGAUUUGUAUAAACUAGAAAUUGACUUUAUUUUACAGAAUUUCAUUGUAAAUUUAUAAUUGAAUGUCUCAUUUAAUUCAGAUAGUUGCUAAUAAAAUGAUUAAAAUCAAA